GUGCUUGCCAGCACACUUACUAAAAUUGGAACGAUAUAGAGAAGAUUAGCAUGGCCUCUGCACAAGGAUGACAGGCAAAUUCACGAAGCGGUCCAUGUUUUU
ensembl:snRNA U6 U6 spliceosomal RNA